CCUACGGGUGGCAGCAGUGGGGAAUAUUGCGCAAUGGGCGAAAGCCUGACGCAGCGACGCCGCGUGAGGGAUGAAGGUCUUCGGAUCGUUAACCUCUUUCAGCAGGGAAGAACGGUCACUGUGCUAAUCAGCAGUGAAUUGACGGUACCUGCAAAGGAAGCACCGGCUAACUCCGUGCCAGCAGCCGCGGUAAUACGGAGGGUGCGAGUGUUAAUCGGAAUUACUGGGCGUAAAGCGCUCGUAGGCGGUAUGUCAAGUCAAGGGUGAAAUCCCCGCGCUCAACGUGGGAACUGCCGUUGAAACUGGCAAACUGGAGUGUGUGAGAGGAGAGUGGAAUGCGGGGUGUAGGAGUGAAAUGCGUAGAUAUCUGGAGGAACAUCAGUGGCGAAGGCGGCUAUCUGGCACAUAACUGACGCUGAGGAGCGAAAGCGUGGGUAGCAAACAGGAUUAGAUACCCCUGUAGUC
rnacentral:rRNA from 1 species